UACAGAGGUCCCAAGCGUUGUUCGGAUUCACUGGGCGUAAAGGGUGCGUAGGUGGCUUGGAAAGUUUGAUGUGAAAGCUCAGGGCUUAACCCUGAAAUGGCAUUGAAUACUAUCGAGCUGGAGGUUUGGAGGGGGGACUGGAAUUCUUGGUGUAGCAGUGAAAUGCGUAGAUAUCAAGAGGAACACCAGUGGCGAAGGCGAGUCCCUGGACAACACCUGACACUGAGGCACGAAAGCCGGGGGAGCAAACAGG
rnacentral:rRNA from 1 species